AAAGCAGCAAAUCAACUGUUUUGUUUGUUUCUACUUAGAACAGAAACUAUCCAAAGAGAAAUUGGACUGAAAUAUAUCCAAGGUUAUGAGAUAAUCUCUGAUGUGCUGCAAUUUAUGUCAUUACGGCAAAGCCAAUAAAAAGACUUUUGAAAUCCUGACAAAUAUAGACUUCUGAAAAAGAAUACAGUGUGGACUCAAGAAUUUUCCAUGUUGUACCCAACAUAAUGACUCCGGAUAUCAUCCCAGUUUUUCAAGAUACUUGAUUUUGGCUUGAGAGAGAAGAGAGAAUUUUCAGUCAAAUAAAGGUCUAAUGAGGUACAAAGGAUACUGCAUAUUGUAAGCUCAUCUACAACAUAUAAUCUUCAUUCCUCCUUCAUGCCACAGUGAAUUAAGUAGAUAAACUUGUCCUGAGAAAUUGAGAUGGAUAACAAGCUUGUUGCCAUCAUACUGAAGACAGGAGACAUUGUCACCUUCUCCACAGCCAAUUAUAUUCAUCAUGGAAAACUGCAUGUUGGAGAUGUUAGUGCAGGUCUUGGGGCACAUCAAGGACUAAAUCCAGCUCAGAUGUUUCACAAGAAGAUGGAAAAAGAAACAACUAAAUGAAAAAGGAAGAAUGUUGACCUAUUUGGAGAUACAAUUCAUUUUUACUUGCCUGUAGAACAUUUGUACAAUUGAAAGCAAUGGCUGAGUUGAAUCUUUACCACUUUCUGCCAGGAAGCCUCCAGUCUGCUGAAAUACCAUCACGAUAUUGCUACCACAGUUCAAUGGAACUAGUCAUACAAGGAUGGAAAUUUAACAGAAAGAUACAGAUGUAUAGAGAUGAAGUCUUCCCAUGUAAAGGCAGAGGCAGGCAUUGGAAUGAUAUGAAUAUGGACAAAGGAGUGCUAAGGCAUGAAAUGAAUUCUUUCUCAUAGCCACAACAAGCAACUAAACCUUUAUUUUGAACUUUUAAUCUCUUGAUGAUGAGUGAAUAAAUUUCUGUUGGCUUAAUCCA